GCUUGUCUCAAAGAUUAAGCCAUGCAUGUCUAAGUAUAAGCACUUAUACCGUGAAACUGCGAAUGGCUCAUUACAUCAGUUAUAGUUUAUUUGAUAGUCCCCACUACUUGGAUAACCGUAGUAAUUCUAGAGCUAAUACAUGCAUCAAACCCCGACUUCUGGAAGGGGUGUAUUUAUUAGAUGGAAACCAAUGCAGGGCAACCUGGAAUAUGGUGAUUCAUAAUAACUCGCGGAUCGGUUUACCGAUGCAUCAUUCAAGUUUCUGCCCUAUCAUGCUCUCGAUGGUAGUGUAUUGGACUACCAUGGCUCUCACGGGUAACGGGGAAUUAGGGUUCGAUUCCGGAGAAGGAGCCUGAGAAACGGCUACUACAUCUAAGGAAGGCAGCAGG
rnacentral:rRNA from 1 species